UGGAUGAGGCUCACCCCGGCGGGGAGAAGGGACGAGGAGGGGCGGACAGCGGAAGGUCCGGGAGUGUCCGCCAUUGCGUAAUUGUGAGUCUGUGAGAGAAGAUGUGAAGUAUGGCCUCGUCCCGGUCAUCUGGGCGUGCGGGUCCCGGGUUUUGAUCGCGCGUUUGUCUGAGUCAUUGAAAGCAGCCAGAUACAGACACAUUCCAGGCAGUGGAGAAAGAGGAGAAAAAUGCCCCCUAACUUCUCAUCAGAAAAACAAAGGCCUAAUGAAAAUGGAAAAUUGUCUUUAAAGAGCUGAAGGGGGAAAAAAAACCGUCAUGCUAAAUAUGCUUCACAUAUGAGGAUGAAUUCAAGUUUUAACUUCUAGUCAUGGUGAAUGAUCCCAGGAGAGCACAGACUGGACCCUGCUACGAUCUCUCUUGGAGUGGAUCAGACUGAUGAUCACCAACAACCAACUCAUUCCCGGAUAAGGAAGAAGAGAGUGUCACCUACUUCAGUGUGGUUUCAACCC
rnacentral:lncRNA from 1 species